UGAGUGGCAGUGUCGACUAGGGUCCAUUUUCUGGUGGGUUUGAGGAGGUGGUGGUUAGUCGCCAUCAUUUAUGUCGAUGUCUGGAGUUGUUGAGAAACAGUGGUGGUGGUGGUGGCGGUUAAUAGUGGUUGGCGGCUUUUAUUUGACUCGAUUUCAUGUCUAUACCAUGGUGAGAGAUGGUUUUAUAGGUGCUAUUUCAGAGUUGUUAAAUGGGUGGAGGUGGUGAUUUAAGGGUGUUUGGGGUUGCAAUGGCGAGGGUCAAAUGGGUGUUCAAAGGAGGAUGAAACAAUGCCAGGUUUUGGGUUGUGGUGUACCUAGGUUUUAGAAUGGUGAGGUUGCAUUUUCUUUUGUAUUAGUGAAGGGUGGAUCGAUUUAGGGGUAAUGACAACACUGGUUUUUGAAGGGUUAAGGAGUCGAGCUUGGUGGUUUUUGGUUUUUGAAAAAGUAGUAGUGAGGGACGAAAGAAUUAGGGUUGAUGGGAGAUACGGUGGAAUUGAGAGUGGUGGAUUUG
rnacentral:lncRNA from 1 species